rnacentral:rRNA from 1 species
UACGUAGGGUGCAAGCGUUAAUCGGAAUUACUGGGCGUAAAGCGUGCGCAGGCGGUUUGAUAAGCCAGAUGUGAAAUCCCCGGGCUUAACCUGGGAACUGCAUUUGGAACUGUCAGACUAGAGUAUAGCAGAGGGGGGUAGAAUUCCACGUGUAGCAGUGAAAUGCGUAGAGAUGUGGAGGAAUACCAAUGGCGAAGGCAGCCCCCUGGGUUAAUACUGACGCUCAUGCACGAAAGCGUGGGGAGCAAACAGG